GAAGUGCACAGCUCUGAUUGGCUUUUGAGGUAAUGGAAGUGACCUGGCCUAGUGUCAGUGUCCCAAUUCCCACAGGACAGAGAGUAACUCUAAGCAAUAGAAAGUGCACUUUUGAAAUCCAAUAGUUGAAGGCUUUCAAAACCCUCAAAUCAGUUUUAGUGAAUUCUGUUUCAAUGAUCAAAUUUUAAAGCUACUUUCUCGAUGCACCAGAACGCCCUGAUUCUCGAAUAUAGAAGGUAUCCUCACUUAAAAAGAAUUCUCAAAGAAUGUACAGUUUUAUAACAAAUUUCAAAUCGUUAAAGGAACCCCUGCAUGCUCAUGUAUUAUUGAUUUGCACAAUUAUGAGGCAAGCAGAGGACUGUAUUUUGCACUACUGGCAUUGUUCUGUCAGUGUGAGCGUAACAAAGCGCCUCUCUUACCUCCCUUUCUGAAAUUAUGCCUCUGAUUUUACAUAGCUGAUAACGUAGCCAUUUGGGAGCAUAGCUUAUUAUGACCAUAAUUUGAAAUAUUCAACAGGGACUGUCAGAACUUGAAACUCAGAAUGAUAUCUACAGAUAAAACCAGGAGGCCAAAGAGAAGUCUCCACGACCAUGCAGUAAUGCCAUCUACUUAUGAAUCCAUCCAUGGAUUAAUCUACAUAUGAGGUCAGAGUCCUCUGGUCCAGACACCUCCAGGAAGCUCAACCCUAAACCCAGCUGCACUGGUAAACUAGCCUUCAACACCUGAGACUCGGGGAACCAUUUUCUGUCCAAACCAUUGUAUGAAGUGUGUGCUUGUUUCAGAACCACAGAGCUUAGUGGAGGACCCCUGUUACCACUCCGAAAAUACAAGGGGACACAUCUGCGUAAACAUUUGCUCAAUUUACAUCUGUGGGAGAAAGCAGUCCUAAAUCCCCCAAAGGACUGACUUUGCGGAGGCCCCAGAAAGCUGAACAAGCAGAUGUCUCCCGAACAGAGAAGAUAGGAACUCGGAGCCUUCCUUGUGGCUCGUCCAUGCAGCUUUCUGACAUCAGUGUUCCUUUGCAUUUGUUACCGUGAGCUUUCUAAUAGGUGGAUAUAUGAAAAUAAUUUUCCCAAGGUCUAUGGGCUGCUCCAGAAAAACUUAAGCAAGCUUAGAAGGAACCUUGGGAACCUUGGUUUGCAGGUAGUUGAUGGGAGGUAGAGGCAACCUGGGUUUGAUAACUGACUUUGUCUUAGAAACUUUUCUAUUGUUGUGAUUCACUAUGACCAAAAGCAACUUGGGGAGGAGGCGGGUUUGUUUCAGCUUAUAGUCCAUGAUGAAGGGAAGUCAAGAUAGGAGUUCAAGACAGAAAUCAGGAGGCAGGAACUGAAGCAGGGAAUAUGGAAGAGUAUGGCUUACUGGCUGGCUUAGCUUACUUUCUUAAUACAAUCCAGGCCCGCCUGCCCAGUGGUAGCACUGCCUCCAGGAACUGGGCCCUCCCACAUCAAUUUUAAUAAAAAAAUAUGCCCUAUAGACUUAUCCACAAACCAAUGUUAUGGAGGCUUUUUUAUUUUUAAAUUAAGAUCCCCCCCUUUCCAGAUAUGAGUAACUAUGGUCGUGUCAAGUUGACAAAAGCCACCCAGGGCACUUUGGAAGGGGCAGUUUGGGGACCUGAGGGGGGCAGUUUGGGGACCUGAGGAAUCUGUGGCAAUCUCUAAGUAAACAGCGUCAGAACUGAAAGUGAACUAGAAGACCCCCACAGGUGUCUGCUGCCUUCUUCGUUGGAGAGUGGGGGAAGAUCUGUACAGUUACCAGUGAUCAUGGAGAUUUUGUGUUGAGAGAAAAGACAAAGAAUACAUUGUGUUUCCUAUCCUCAAGAUGUCAGACUUUAUAUAUAGGCUGCCGUUUUGGCUUCUCUUACUAUGCUUCCACCAUUCUCCUUGGAACAUGCAGAAGACUGGUUCCAGCCAGUCUCUAAGCAGUCUUCUGAGAGGAGCCCUCCCUUUGAGCUUGCUUCACCCUUGGUGACUUCACCCUUUGUAAUGUGUCACACAAGCAAACUCUGACAGCUCUGUUCUUCUAGUCUUUCUGUGUCAUGACCUUGUUUCUGUUCUCCCCUCCCCCUUCCCCUUUCUGGACCUUACUAGGUUUACCUGUAGGGCUAAUUGUGCUCAUUUCUUUCAUUUUCCUACUUAAGCUUCUUGGACCUCUGUUUUCCAUUCAUGUGGGGCACAUUAUGACAUCUUCAAACACAUUUGUUCUUGUUCUUUUUUCCCUCAUCCCUGCCUCAUGUUGUACCCUCCCACCCACCCGAGCCUCCUCCCUAUCUCCAUACCAGGUGUCCUCCUGCCUCCCCCCAACAUCAUUUGACCCCUCUUAAACUGUAUUUUUUUUAAAGAAAAUUAUGGCUGGAAAGUUAGUUGAAAUAGAUGCUAAAGAAAAACAAACAAACAAACAAAACAAAACAAAAGCAAAAAAAAAAAAACCCAAAAGAAUAAGUUCUCCUUUAAAUGAUGUAAAACCACCUUGCCCUAACAGGCUUAUGGAUUACGAGUUACGAAUAAUGUUUACAUACUAAACAGUAUGUAAACUGUUUACAUACUAAAUAGGAUUCCUUAGCACUGAGAAGGGAUGCUUGCCUGGCUGCCAAGGUCUCUUCAGUUCGUCUGCUUUCAAUCAGAGUUCAUGUUUUGGUUUGGUUUAAAUCAAAAUAUACUUACAUCACCCCCUUCCUUCUCCUCCCUCAAUCCUCUCUCACGUUCCCCCACUCUCUCUCAAAUUCUUACUCCUUGUUCUUUAAUUAGUAUCAUUACACAUAUACAUGAAUAAACAGACAAAUACAACUUGUCAUGUCUAUUUAGUGUUGUUCCUUGGAGUUCAUAUUUGGUUAGGGAUAUUUUAGUGUGUGGAUAUGGUUUGAGAUUUUAAUGUCAUGAAUAUAUGGAGCGUUUGACAUGUGAAAAGUUUUUCUUUCUGGUAUAGUGUGUGUUUGUGUUUGUGUGUCUGGGUAUGUGUGUUUGUACAUACAUGUACAAAGGAAGGCAGAGGAAGAAGGCAUUGAAUGUCCCCCAUCUCUUCUUGCACCUAGAGCAUGGUGAGCCUUGGGCUAGGCUGGCAGCCAGCCAACCAGCAGAUCCCAGCUAUCUUUUUCUUUGACCCCACCCCAUGCCCUUCAUGCACUGUGGUUAGAGUGUAGGAGACUGUGCUCACCUUGUGUGGGUGCUGGGUUCUGAGCUUAGCUACUUAUGGUUGCAGACAGUGGCCAACUGCUGAGCCAUCAUUCCAACCCCCUGGUUUCCAAGGGACUUUUUGUUUUCUAUACCAACUUUAUAAUCUCACUAUACCUGCACGGCAAGCCAGAGGCGGAUAUUGUCAGUUUCUAGAGCAUCGGCGUUUCACAAGAUUAAGGGAUGCUGCAAAGACUAAAAGAAACAAAGGAUAGCAGGAUGGCUCAGUGGGUAAAAGCACCUACUGCCAAGUCUGAAACCCUGAGUUCAAUUCCCGGGAGCUCUCAAGUUGUCCUCUGACCUCCACCUUUGUGCCAGGCCCCAUGGGCACACCCUCAAUCCAUUUCCAUGCCGGCUGUUUACAGUGCGGCCAACUCUUGGCCAGGGCUUCUUGUCAGUUUGCUGAGUCUUUCCCAGGAAGAAUGCACUUUUAGCUGACUAGGGUGUUUGCAAGCAGCUCCAUCAUAAUCCUCCCUUCUGUUUUAACAUCCACGUGACUAGAAAGGCUGCCAUUUAUCACCUACCUCAGACAAACAGCUUUUGCUUAAAGGAUUUUUACGCUGGUGCCUGAAGACUGAAAUAUCCUGGCAAGGUUAUUCUAAUCCUGGAGAACGCACGUCCCUUAGCUUAGUUCCGAGGUUUAUUCCUAAUGAAAUUACAUUUCUUUUGUUGGAAUAAAUAAAUAAAUACACUUUGAAUAAAAGCUAGCAUUCAAGCUUUGCCCGUUUUUAUGUUGACCAUUAACAAUAAGAAUCACAGACAGACAACAUAGUUACUUCCUUUGUGUUAAAUAAAUAUCCAGUUGCCUUUUCUAAAAUUAUUUUUAAAAGAGGAAUUAUGAUUAGCAUAGGCCCUGGGUAUUGGGGGAGGGGAGGCACUUUGGACCUAAUAAUGUAAGUAAAAAGUUUCUGAAAAAUAACAGAAUAAACGGUAUUUCUAAAAGCUUUUACUCCCGCCUACUGUAAUGAAGAAAAAGUGUUCCAAAUAUGAACUGAUGAAGUACAAAGUAAUGAAUAUUUAAUUUGUAUAAUUUACCAAAGUGCUUUUAGAAAUCAGAGCUACAUUCUUCAUAAACAUAAUGUUCAUUAAGCCUGAACUGUAGCUCACAUGCAAUUACCAUAUCGCUCCUGUACCACUUCCGCCUCUCGGGGCAUUGAAUAAAACCCCUUUGAGAAUUUCUCAUGGGCCGAGAGAGAAAAGGAGGAAACCAUGUUGUGGCUAUGGAGUUUGUAUGGCUUACCUUUGGCAAGGGAGGCCUGGAGGACACGAAGGCUGGAGUGAGGGCAGGGCAGCCAGCAUUUGCCUGGGAGCCAAAGGCUUGCCCAGGGCUACCUAGUCCCUUGGCAAAAAGCAGUUUGGAAUGAGAAAACCAGAAAAGCCAAAUUAGUCUGAUGGCUCGACAGGAGACCUUAUCGAGUUCUUAGAAGUAAAAGGAGGAGUGCUACUUGAAAUCUGACUGAUAAGUUAUCAGAUCAAGCGGUGUGCAGCAGAAACAGACCUGGAUGUGACAUGAAUUUUAAUGUGAUCAGUUACUUAGCUUACGAUUCAGGGCACUGGACCCUGAUGCUUGCUCUCAUGGUAUCUGAUGUGAGAAAUGAAACAUACCUCUUUUUUGCUUUUGUUUUUGUUUUUUUUCCUACUCUCUUAUUUUAAAACUUGGCAGCCAGAUUAUCACUAUCAACAAAGGGCUUUACAAAUAUUUGCUCCGAGAUUUAUUUCUGAAAAUCACGAAGAAACUAACAUUCGGCAGCAUCCUAACCACAUUUGUAAAAUUCAGAAGUCACCCCUAAUAAAGUAUACUUGGUUAAAAAAAAUUCUCAGUUUUGAAAACUUGCUUUUCACUUCCUUGUGCCUCACUCAUGGCUGGCUUUUCUUCUCAGCUGUUCUGGGGCUACAUGGGUCAGGCUUGCCAGAACUUACCAAACAGCGGACCAGAGGCAAUGGGCCUCUUCCUAGUGCUCUCGGCAUAGCACACCAGGGAGAGCCUCAGUGCACUUCAGACAGAGCGGAGAUAGUCUUCUCCUUGGAAAACGGCCCUGACAAAUGGCUUGGAAGCAGAAUGCUAGGACAAGCUGAGCUGUGCAAAGGGGUAGGGGAUGAAACAUUAGUGUGUACCUGCCAAAGGUUUCCAUUAAAGUGUCCAAAGAAAAUGAUUUUGACAAAUGAUACCUUUUAUGGAUAAAAACAUGCAACCUGCUGCAUUGGGCACCUUGCCUUUGCACUGUGAAGAGAAUGGGGAAUUGUCUUUGCUGUGAGUCACUGUAUUUAGAUUUGUUCUCCACCGGGUCUGUCGAUUAGCCGAGACAUCCACCUGGAAACAUUUGGUGACAGCUGGCUGGCAUGGCCUUCAAGAGCUGGGCCUACUCAAUAUAGGUCCAACCUCAGUGUUGGGAGCCUGCUACAGAGGAGUGUUAUAGCAACUGUAGGUUAUCAUUUAAGAGAUUUAUAGGCAAGUCAGCAGGAGGAGAAGAAAAACGCCAAGUUCAUUUCAGAGCAUAAGCAAGCUUCUAAGUAAAACAGCCAAAGCAAGUUUACCACUGGACUAAGUCGAAGGGUCUGGUAGAGCCCAUACAAUGAAAGGACUAUGAGUUUUGGUGCUAAGCACGGAAAAGAACGCUCACUGUAGAUGACUACUCAGUAAUGUAUAGUUGCCCUUGACUUCUGCACAAGUAGAGGAGACUUGAGAGUAUGUAAAGGUGUUAGAAUGUAAAGAGUUAGUUAAGAAUACCUCACAGUCAUGUGACAACAUAGGGGAACAUGUAGUGAGAUAGAUCUCUGUGCUAUUAUAUUGUGUGAGUUCGUGAGGUUGCAGAGGGAGAGAGGGAAAGAAGACCCCAAGGGAAAAGACAGGUAUUUGGAGCACGGUGUUGUGCAGAUGAGUGGCUAACAAGCGGAAGGAGGUAGAGAGAGUUCAUGUAUGGGCAGCGUUUCUUUUCUUGAAUACAUAGGAGACAGGACAUCCUUCAGUGACAGUGAAGAUGUAUAGGGCUUUAGAAGAAUGGGGAAAAUGAGAAGUUUAUAUCAGAAACUCUGUGGAGGGAGAGUAGAGCAGAGAUAUUGUUUGGUAGGUCAGGUAAGUCCACGGGUGGUGGCAAGAUCAGCUGGCAUUGUUGCCCAGCAUCUAAAACUACUCAGCCACCAAUGCUAAGGGCGGAGUGGUACGACUGGCAGGAUCCAAGACUUGCUGUGGACAUGUUCAGGUUCUAGGUGAACUUAAAAGUACCAGAUAGCUGACACAGCAUAGGAUGCAUGGGAAAAAGAAGAAAGGUUUUGAGGCAAAUUUAAGGUAGUCUGGUGUGCGUUUCUGACGUUUGUAUCUCUGGCUUGCAUGACUCUGCUUGCAUUUCAUGAUUUUAUUCAACUGAGUCACUCUUACCUGAUGCUAUCUGAUAGCAACAUUCAACUACGUGGUUCAUUAGCUGAAAUGACUCUACCAAAGGGUUAAAUGAUAAAAAAUAUAAUAGGCGAGGAUUUUUUUAAGCCCUUAAAAUAUGGUAUUUACCCGGUCAUUAUUUUUUAAUGUAGGAAACAGGCUUGGAUCUGUGCUGGCUGUUACUCUAAGUACAUUCAAAUGAAUGUAGUUUCUGCUCUUGCACAGAUAGUUCACAUAAUAAACUGCAUAUCACAUAUCACAUAUUGUCUACACAAUAUGAACAUAGCAAAUCAGUGAUCUCACAUGGCUGUGACAACUGAAUUUGCUUCUGGAACCUCGGUAGUUCUUCUGCUAUGAAAUGUCACAUUUUCCCUUCCUAAACUUUAUCUCAGAUGCUUAAAAGGUAUGCAAAGUUCAUUAGGGAGAUACUCAACCUCUGAUACUCAAAAGUAGCUUUAAUACCUACAUAACUCUGGUUCUAGUAGUUAUAAAAUAUAACAUUAUACUCUGGAUAUUAUUAAUCAACCUUGAUGUCCAUUUUCUCUUGAGUUUUGAAACAGGGACCCUGUUUUUCCUGAUGCCCCUUAUUGGUUCUUACCCCUUAGACACCAGGUCAGUGAAAAAGAAUAAGGGGCAAGUUUAUGGUGAGAUAGGGCCAUUAUCAAAACGGUAAAACUAACUAGAGGCAUUUUGAGAAAGCCAUGUGGAAGCCUGCUACUAUAGAAGAUUCCUAAAACGUUUGCAUAGAUUUAAAACAGAGCUUAAAUGGGGUUACUGUAUAAUGGGGGAUCUGAUACCCCAAUUAGAUACUAUAUGACACCAAAUAAAAACCCUAGUACUAAGAAUAAGUUCUCUCUUUUUGAGUUCUCAGUCAGUGAUGUCCCAUAGAUGCCCCCAACUUUACAGGUGCAAUAGUGACGUAAAUGUAAUUGAGCAACCAAUCACUUUUUGAUUGUCUUAAAAGUCCUAGUCCGUGUAGUAUAAUCCAUACCUCACACUGUUAUGACAUUAAGAUCCUGAGGUUCGAUAGGUCAUGGUCCCUGUGGGGAAACCUAUUGCUAUUAUUCUGUUAAUGAACUUAGCUAUAAAAUGAAUCCUAAUGAGCUACUUCUAGAAAUAGAAAAGAGAACCAAUAAAGAAGCAUUCCACAUCUCUGACAGAAUGGAGGUGCGACACACCUUUCAAUGUCACUGGGAUACUUUUAGCCAGUUAUGGUUUUAUAUACGCCCCCAUUUGUCUUUUUUUCCUAAACAAAGAAGUCAUUGCUAUUAUUUUUUAUUAGGACACCAAAGCAUACUGAGUGUGUAGUGAUGUUCUACUGUGUACGAUUUACCAUGUGUAAUAUAUGUGGGUGUAUUGGUUAGGGUUUUGUAGAGGAGCAGAACCAAUGGGAUGAAUUUAAUUAUGUUAGAGGAUUCACGUUCAGUUUACGCCAAAAGAAUAAUGUCUGAAUCAUAACCAAAAGUAUAAAAAUCAGUAGUCAUUUGAUCCUCAGGGUUGGGUGCCGCAGCAGUAGGAAUAAUCCCACAGGAGCUGUCUCUCUCAGUGGGGGAGGGAGGUUGGCAUCCUGAUAGUUGCUCAGUUCACAGGGUGCCUCAGGAGUGUCAGUUUGACACCACAAACCUGAAAGGCUUCUGGAGGGCCUCUGGUCAUCAAUCCAUGACGGCAACCUGGCCUCGGUGGCUAUAGGAACAGCAUAAAUCACCUUGACAGUAAGAUAGAAGGCUGACUGGGCAGGUGGCCAGCCAUCUUCCUUCUGCAUACUUUUUAUUUAGACUUAUGAUAGCAGAAGGUUCUGCCCACAAUACAGGUGAGUCUGCCUUCAUCCACUCAGGCAAUCAGGAUGGUCCUUCCACUGAGGCUCCCUACUCAAGAGAUCUUAGAGGCAGGUUGAUGUCGAAACCGACCAUAGUGAUGCGAAAGUCCUGAUUCGUAUUGUUGACCCAUUUCUGUGCUAUAAAUAUCCGAGUCUCCCUUAUCCAAGAUGAUACAUUAUAAGCGGCUCCUCUAGUGAAUGUCUGAAAAUGUGUGUGGAUCCUGCAAAUACAACUUCUGAUUUUUUAUUUCCUCAUUAAGCCAAUGUCUGUACAUUUUGUAUUUGCUUUUGUCUCACAUGUUUAUUUUCAUUUCAUAGGAGUGAUUGCUAAUAACCGUGUGGGGGAACCAAUAUUAGGCUGUCUUGAAAUCUCUGCCAGAGAAAUUAGUUCAUACUUUUCAAUUUAGCCUCAGGCAUAGUCCUAACACAAAGGCAAAAAGUUGACACAUUCUUUGCCACAGGAAUCUAGCACAGUUGUUAAUCCUGUUCCCCAUAAGACUUCUUGAUCUGGCAUCCACAAAUCUGCAUUGCUCUUAGUGUGAUUGUCUCCUGUGUUCUGGUUAGGAUGUUUCAUUCAGCACCGUUACAGCAUCCCGACACUUUUUUAUACAAAGUUGUAAAAGUUUCCCACAUUGCUUAAAAGCAGCAGCAGCAGCAGCAGCAGCAGCAGCAGCAGCAGCAGCAGCAGCAAAAGCAAACAACACAACCUGGUCAGAGAUAUCACAGCAAUAGACUCAAUACUGACUUUGGCAUUAUUUACUUUUCGAUUACUGUGAUAAGUCACUGUGACCGAAACAACUUAUAAAAUAAAUAGUUUCCAUUUCCUGGUGAACCUGGUGGACCCUUUCAGCUCUCCCAUCUCUAACUCACCCCUAUUCAUUUUUAUCAGCUGCUGAUAACCUAGAAACACUGUGACCACAUGGGGCUGGACUCAGUCAGACCUACAUAAGGAUAUUGGAAGAAUGAAGAUUCUUUCUUUUUUUACCUAUCUGCCUUGUGAGACUGAGCCACUGCUAGAUCCUUGGACUUCCAUUCACAGCUGCUGCUGACCAUUGUUGGGGAGUUGGACUACAGAUUGUAAGUCAUCAACAAAUUCCCUUACUAUAUAGAGACUACCUAUAAGUUCUGUGACUCUAGAGAACUCUGACUAAUACAGAAGUUGGUACCAGAAGUGGGGUGCUUUUGACACUUCAUUUGUCAGUGCAAUUAAUCUGAGUUCUUUUACCUUAGAUUCAGGCAGACUCUUCAGACAAAAUACCACAAAAAUAUUCUCUACACCACAUACUGAAAUUCUUCUCCUCUGAACCCUUUGGGCCAGGUCUGCCCAGUUCAAAUCGCUCACAGCAACAAAGUCUUCUAUAUUCCUUCUAGGAUAGUCCAUUAAGUCCCUCUUAGAGCAUUACAGUGCUUUCCAAAUCCAAACUCCCAAAAUCCACAUUCUUCCAAACAAAAUCAUGGUCAGGCCUAUCACAGCAAUACCCCAGUUCCUGGUACCAACUUCUGUCUUAGUUUGGGUUUUAUUGCUGUGAACAGACACCAUGAUCAAGGCAACUCUUACAAGAACAACAUUUCAUUGGGGCUGGCUUAAAGGUUGAGAGGUUCAGUCCAUUUUCAUCAAGGCAGGAACAUGGCAGCAUCCAGGCAGACAUGGUGCAGGAGGAGCUGAGAGUUCUACAUCUUCAUCUGAAGGCUGCUAGCAGAAUACUGGCUUCCAGUCUAGAGGAGGGUCUUAAAGUCAACACCAACAGUAACACACUUACUCCAACAGGGCCACACCUUCUAAUAGUGCCACUCUCUGGGCUGAGCACAUACAAACCAUCACAGACAGCAUAUAUAUGUUUGUGUACCACAUACAUGUGUGGGGCCGGAGGAAGGGGUGAGUCUCCAUGUGGGAGCUGGGAAUUGAACCCGAUCCUUUGCAAGAAACAAGUGCUCUU